CUUGGAAUGUACAGUCCGGGACAUUUCUAUUUGGACAUAAAAAAUUUGAAUUUUCUGACAUUUAUACGUAUAUUCAGCGUCUAUGUGAACAAAAAAUGUUCUCUCUCUCAUUCUAUGGUCCUUUAGCUUUAAUAACAGGGACAUUUUUUAAAUUGGUAGCAUUAGAAAAUGACAGUAAACAGCUGACUGAUGUAAACAAUAACACAAUAACAAAGGAAAUGUUAUAAUUUUAAUCUAUAUAACCAGUGGCUGCUUUAAAAGUGUGUACUAACGGGAUAAUAAAAUAUUUACGCAAGUAUUUUUGAAGGUAGAAACAUUACUUGUCAUAUAACAAUUAUAGAUUAUAUGAUGAGACGGGAAUGGCACAACACAGAAUUGCAGUCAGUGAUUGUGCUGGAGAAAGCUGCUGCGACGUACUGACAGUACUGACUGUCGCUGGUUGUAUGAUUUGCGCAAUUUGUGAUAUAUUUUGUGUGAAAAACUGGAAAACAAAGUGCAUACCUGCAUAACCUCACUUAUCGCAGUUUUGCACAUUUUGAUGAUGGGAAUUGCGGUUCAAGUAAUUAUGAGUUAUAGAUGGAGCUCACUGUUUACUUCAAACUGAAGCCUUUUGGGUCCACUUUUUUCGUUGUUAUUUCCUGGUAGCGACUCUUGUUUCAAGCAGAAUGGGUGUACAGUUAAAAAUAAUCCCAUAAAAUUGUUAAUAUAACUCCGUUGCACUGGCAUGGGGUAUUUGAAAACUUACGUUUAACAAAUACGUCACAAAGUCUCAGCCAUCGUCGAAAAACAUAAUAAGGGCUUUAUAACAACAAGCGCUUUCUGAUUUUACUGUGGACGUGUGGAAGAAUAGUGUGAAAUAUUGCGAAAAACCAACUUUUACUCUUGUUUACAUUUUUGUACGUCUCUAUCUGGGAGUAGUCGUCUUUUAUAAAAAAUAUAGCCUACUAAUAAAGGAAAUUAAAGUGUU